rnacentral:tRNA from 1 species
UUGGUAGAAACCAAAAUAGAGGUAUAUCACUGUUAAUGAUAAAAUUGAGUUACACACUCCUACCAAG